GUUCCUGGGAGCCAUGGCGCACAGGUAGACCAGCAGGUAGUUCUCUGAAACCAUCAGGUCCAGCGUUCCCACGAUGUACCUGCAGGAGAACGAGAGCUGGGUCACCUGACCGUCCAGGUAACAGGAAGUAAACAGAAUUAUGGCGUUCAUCCCGUCUCCGUAGUAACCUGCCAAUGACAGGUGUGUUGCAGGUGUUCAUGUGACUGCGUGUUUCCUGGGUUUCAGACGCUGCAGG